rnacentral:rRNA from 1 species
AUGAGUCGCCACCGAACGCCGUGCACCAUGCUCCGCGCUGCUGCCUGCGAUGCCGCGUGCAGGAGCGCGCACCGCCGCGUGUCCUGCUGGCUGUCGACCACGGCCGCCUGCCGCCCGCGCCUCGCCGGGCGCUCCCGCGACCGCGCUCGCUGCACGACGCGCGCCCCGCCGCCUGCCUGCCUUUGCUGCAAUUACUUCAGGCUAUGGAUUGCGAUUAAUAGGAUUCAGGUUCAGGGGAAUACUGAAGACACAUUUGCCUGGCGCUUGUCACCGUCAGGCUGCUAUUCUGAAGAAUCCAGCUACAAGAUUCUAUGUCAGAGCAAGGAGUGUUUUUGUCUUGCUAAUGCUAUCCGGAAGAGCUAUACAUCAAUGAAUUGUAAAGUUUUCAUCUGGUUUUCUCUCAAGUACAGGAUAUGGAAGUCUGACCGCAGGGUUUCCAGGGGCCUACAGGCGACCAUCUCGCCGUGUUCUCUCUGUCUUCAGGAGGAUGAAACAACGGACCACAUGCUUGUUCAUUGCGUGCUCCCAAUCCCUCAAAUACAAUGCUUGAAUGGUGGCACACUUCUAGACUGCAACUCCAAUUAUACUCAUUUGGUUGACCCGUUGCAACGCACGGAACACGAGGGCCGCGCCCCAUCCCUCCACCGCCGCGUCCCUGUCCCUCUGCUCGCCGCCGCGCGCCCCAUCCCUCCGCCGCCGCGCCCCCGUCAAUCCUCUCCUGGUGCCCGUCCUUGCUCCGCCGCGCCGAAUCUGGACGAGAUCGGGAGAAUUCGCCGCAUCUCGCGCAUCUGCUCGUCGGCCAUGCGGGGAGGACGAACGAGCUGCUCGUCGGACAUGCAGGGAGCACGGACGAGCUGCUCAUCGGCGUCCGUCCCACAGCCCCGCUGA